UCUGAGGAGAAGCUGUGGUAUUUGAAGUGCAAAGAAGUGGAAAAUCAGAAGCUAAAAAGGCGGAGAAACGGCUUCAAGAAUUGGAGCAUUCAUCCUUUUGGAUUCUUUUGGUCACUGCAUGCUUAGUUUAGAAGACUCUUGAAGACAGCUAUACCAAGAUAUGGAUACAAGUUGGAUAGAACUUCCACGAUGCCACACUCAAUAUGUCAAAGGUUGUAUGCAAUUCAUUAACUUUGCUAAGGUAGCUCAGGUAGAAGGAAA